UGUAUUUUAAGGGAAAAAUGUCCACAAGUGUUGCGUUGGAAGAACGCAAGCUCUUGUGUAAUAAAAUAAUGUCGCAUGGAAAUGCUGUGUAGCCGCCAAGAAAAAACAUUUAUAAUUUAUAAAUUCCAAUGAGAGCCAGACAGACCGUGCAAAUUGCAAAAAGCAGCGCUUUUAAUCGGCCGUGCUGUACUAAUUUACUUAAACUUUUAUACACCAACUGCGGCUGGACACCUAAUAGAAUUCAAAACAAGAAUUGAAUGAGCAUUAUUGCGGAAGCUUAAAUGCGAACAACGCAUUUGCAUUAACGUUGAAUUUGCACCGCUUAGCCGCAAAUGAUGAUAAUCGUGAAUAUUUUCUCCUUCAAGAAGCAAAGGAUGUCAGCAACCAUCACAUCAAAUAUGUUCGAAAUCCUGGAUGAGAGAGUUGCCUCAAUGACGGGUUGGCACCGUUCUCGAAUUGUUGAAAUUUACAAUGAGGUCCUCGCAAACGUCCGAGCUUACUGGCACAAUUUGUCGAGUUGCCCCUUACUUGGCAUCUGAAUGCAAGUAGACUGCAGUCCUCCAGGAUUGCCGAAUCACUGCGGAGUCGGUGUUUUCCUUGGUUGUACCUCGUAGGCUACGUGCCUAUGGCAGAGCUAGAUACGUGAAGAGCAUUAACCUGGCAAUAUCAGGAGCAAUGGGAAACAUUGACGAGGGACACAUAUUGACGGAGAUAUUUUCUUCUUUACCGAAGUUUGGAAGCAGACACCUGAAUCAACAACGAGUGCAGUGUGCUUUCCCGCGGAAGCAGCUUGCGUUUUCCAAGGCCGCUGUUGAUUCUGACAGAUUUGCGCUCGAAAGAGCCGUCAAACAAAACUCGAAACUUCCGGUGGAAGCUUCGCCUUCGACACUGCGAAACAAUACCAACUGCAGACGAUGCCAUAACAA